AUCCUACGGGGGGCAGCAGUGAGGAAUAUUGGUCAAUGGGCGAGAGCCUGAACCAGCCAAGUCGCGUGAGGAAAGACGGUCCUAUGGAUUGUAAACCUCUUUUGCCGGGGAGCAGAAAGCGGUACGUGUACCGCAUCGAGAGUACCCGGAGAAAAAGCAUCGGCUAACUCCGUGCCAGCAGCCGCGGUAAUACGGAGGAUGCGAGCGUUAUCCGGAUUCAUUGGGUUUAAAGGGUGCGCAGGCGGGCCUUUAAGCCGGCGGUGAAAUCGCGGGGCUCCACCCCGCCGCGCCGUCGGAACCGGGGG
rnacentral:rRNA from 1 species